UACGUAGGGGGCGAGCGUUGUCCGGAGUUACUGGGCGUAAAGGGCGUGCAGGCGGUGCAGUAAGUUUGGAGUGACAGUACCCGGCUCAACUGGGUAAGGCCUUCGAAAACUGCUGGACUUGAGGGCCAGAGAGGGACAUAGAAUUCCGGGUGGAGUGGUGAAAUGCGUAGAUAUCCGGAGGAAUACCAAAGGCGAAGGCAGUGUCCGUGGCUGGCAUCUGACGCUGAUGCGCGAAAGCUAGGGGAGCGAACGGG
rnacentral:rRNA from 1 species